rnacentral:rRNA from 1 species
GACGAACGCUGGCGGCGUGCCUAAUACAUGCAAGUCGAACGAACGGAUUGAGGAGCUUGCUCUUCAUGAAGUUAGUGGCGGACGGGUGAGUAACACGUGGGUAACCUGCCCUUCAGUGGGGGAUAACAUCCGGAAACGGGUGCUAAUACCGCAUAGUUUCUUUUUCCGCCUGGAAGAAGAAGGAAAGAUGGCCUUCGCGCUAUCACUGAGGGUGGACCCGCGGCGUAUUAGUUAGUUGGUGGGGUAAUGGCCUACCAAGACGAUGAUACGUAGCCGACCUGAGAGGGUGAUCGGCCACAUUGGGACUGAGACACGGCCCAA